UUGUAUCAGUUCAGGUGUAAACCUGACAUGCAAUAGGAUCCGGCAUGGUGUCCACACUCAUUAGACACGUGGCAUCGUUUCCAAAGAUUUUGGCAGAGAAAAAUCUGAGGCACCUAAUGUUAGAUUACAGCAAAGAGAGCAAGAAUGGUAUUUGUUUAGAAAAACCCUCAGAAUCAUUGCGAACCAUUCAGGCAACACAGCAGCUUCUGGAGGUGAAGGCUGAUCAGACAUGAGCUGAGUUUCCAAGUUCUCACGGGCACAUGUGCUUUCCUGCGCUUAGACUUCUCUCCUCCAGGCUCCGACAGUUUCAGGGGAACCAGCGCUCAGGUGAGAGUGACCCCUUCUCCCACAGACUCCUUGCAGCACACACAGAUGUCUCCAGUGAUUCCUAAGAAAGGUUAAAUUUAUAAGAACCUAGUCACCAUUUUCUAUUUUUUAUACAUUUUAUAAAAUUGAGUGUGAUUUUGGAACACAAGCAAAUGUUCAAAAGAUCAUACUACUAGAAACAUUAUCAUUCUGCCACCCACUUAGCUCAAAAUCUUUGAUUUAGGUGAAUUAUUUUACAUAAAACCUACAAUUUUAUCAAUUGAAUUUAACAAUUGUAAAAGUAAUCCCAUACUAUACUCACCAUAAGAAACAUAAUCACUAUUAGUUAUUUUAAAAAUUGUGGGAUCUAAUUUUUCCCUCCACACAUUUUACUUGUAAUGAUGUAAUCUCAGUAUAGCACAUCGGGGCUAAUUAAUUAGGACAGGUCACUGUGGAAUAUAGUUGCCUGUUAAUGAAAAUGCUUGAUUUCAGAAAUGAUCACUUAUUUAAUGACAUAUGAGAAUUGUAAUAUAACACAAAAUUUAUAUUUAUAAUAAUAUAACAAUUACUUGAUUUCAUCAUUUAAAGAUAUUUUAUAAAAGUGAUUCCUAAUAGAAAACAAUAAUUUAAUUGUUAAAACAUAAAUCAAGGAAGAAAACAUUGUAAAGUCAACAGCAACCUAAUUAAAAUCAGCAUUUUCAAUACAAUGUAUUAUUAAGGGAACUGAGCACACUAAAAUAAUACAUAGUAUACAUAAGAUGGCAUAAUUUUAAAAAUUGACAAUUUAUGACAUAAUAUUUACUCAAAAACUCAAUUGAAUGCCUAUAUAUAUAUUAAAAUAUAUGUAGAUCCCUAAUUUUAAAUGCUGUUUAUAAAAUUUGUAGUCAAUUAUCUAUUAUCUAAAUAAAUGCAAAGAGAAAAUAUCAAGUUACAGCACAGUUAAUAAUUUCCAUUUAUUUUAUAUAAUUUGAAUAUUGUACCUUUAUAAAAAUUAGUCAUAACUUUCUAUUCAAAAUUUUUAUUUAACAAGUAGAGAUUUUAUUACAAAACAUUUAACUUACGUUAAUAAUUCUUUUGUGUUAAAUUUUAAAACUGCAUAAGAAAUUAAAUAAAAACUCAAAGAAUUUCUAUUUGUGUCAUUCCAUCAGAUGUUGAAAAUUUGUCUCUCCUCGAAGUAAGAAGAGGAAUCCUCUGAACUAAUGUCACUGCCAAAACUUAGAGUAGAAAAUGCAAAAUUGAAAAGGACUUGUAAAGAGAUUUAUAUUACACCAAAAUAUUACACAGCUCCUUUUCAUAUUUUUUUCCUAACUAGUUCAACAACUGGGCUUAUUAAAAAAGCUAUCCUGGUUAUUGGAUAACUUUGCUUUAAAAGGUUAUUAGAAUAACCUGCUAAUUAAAAAGCACAAAUCAAACUCCCAUAAAAAGUCUAAAUGGAGAAGGGCUCAGCUAAUUGGAGGUUCUUUCAUAUUAGUGUGAGAGUCCUGGAGUGCCUAGAUUGCAUUUUGAAUGGUGUCAUUAUGCUGGCCCAGUGUGGUCAUAUUGGGAGCCGUGUUCCCAGACAGCCUCCCAGGAUCUGUAUAUGGAGCUGCAGUCAGCAUGAGGGGUGACACAGGCAACUCAAUGCCCUUAUCGCAAAGUCCCAAAUUCAAAUAUUAGCAUAUACAGCAAACAAUCAAAAAUGGCAUUGUGUUCAGCCAUCUUAACAAGAAUGAGAUUUGCAGCAAAAUUGGUAAGAAUAAAAUGGAGAUGACGAAAGGGUGUUUUUAACUCAAAAGAAAAAGCCCCCACCCUUCCUGAAAGUGAUGUGCUCAGAAAGAGACAGAUCGUAAUGAGAAGAGAAAAGGCACCUGGCAUUUGCAUCGCCCCUCCACCUGGAGCCCUGACUGGAGAGGGUGUAAUUAGAGCACUCUGUGUGCAGGGAACAAAGGCCUGUCAGGAUGAAGAAAAGCCCCAAGCUAAGCAAAACCCCGACUAGUUACAUCUUUCAAUUUCUUCUCGCUGCCUUGAAAAGAGGAAAUAUAAGAAAACAGGUGUGGGGUGGAUUUUUCUAAUGUUUGGAAAGGAAAGAUUCGUCUUCUGUUAAUAUUCUUACAGAGAGUAAUUACAUCUUUUCAAGGCCAGAGAACAACUCAACAUUCACUGGGCCAACUAACUGUGGGAAUAGGAUCAGGGUGGUCAAUCCUGAUGCAGCACGCCCUCUCUUUCUCUUAGUCAUGCUAAUUUUUUUCAAAAUAUUGAGUAUUAGAUUGAUUAAUUUGUCCUGUGAGGUUGCCGGGUUUCGUUUUCUCCUGGAUCAGCAACACAAAAUUGAGACGACAUGUAUGUCAGAGAUAGAUGACGGCAUGAGCCUC
rnacentral:lncRNA from 1 species